rnacentral:rRNA from 1 species
CCUACGGGUGGCUGCAGUAGGGAAUAUUAGUUAAUGUGCGAAAGCGCGAACUAGCAACGCCGCGUGUGCGAUGAAGGCCUUCGGGUCGUAAAGCACUUUUCGAGAAGAUGAGGAAGGACAGUACUCUCGGAAUAAGUCUCGGCUAACUACGUGCCAGCAGCCUCGGUAAAACGUAGGAGGCAAGCGUUAUCCGGAUUUACUGGGCGUAAAGCGCGUGCAGGCGGUUUGGAAAGUUGGAUGUGAAAGAUCCUGGCUCAACGAGGAGAGGUCGGUCAAAACUUCCAGACUUGAGGGCAGUAGAGGGAGGUGGAAUUCCGUGUGUAGUGGUGAAAUGCGUAGAUAUACGGAGGAACACCAGUGGCGAAAGCGACCUCCUGGGCUGCAUCUGACGCUCAGACGCGAAAGCUAGGGGAGCAAACGGGAUUAGAUACCCCUGUAGUC